rnacentral:lncRNA from 1 species
AUGUCAGAAAGUCAUCGAUCCAUUUCUCAUAAGCAGGUAUCUUCUUGUAAGAAAGUAUCCCCUAGAACACCUGUUCUCAAGAACAACUUCUUAAGAACAAAAAGAUGUAACACCCACCCCAAGACCUCUGGGUAUGGACCUCAUGCUGACAGUACUGCCGUCCUAGAUUGGGGCCAGUAUCUUCAAUUUUGCUCCUAGGGAGAGUGGAAUUGGGUAUGAAUUUUACUGCUCCCUAUGUAGGUUUGUAUCCACUGAAAUCAUUCCUUGUUCAAGCGAUGUGAAGACUCAAUGCAAAGGCCACACUGUUUUCUCUACAUGCUGUCAGCCAUUGAUUCAGACAGGGAAGAAAUUGGCUGUGAGUAUGAAACUCAUGAUACUGGCUUCUAGAAAGGCUAAGUCCUUGCUACAAGGGAAUGGCAUGAAUACACAAACAAGGCUGACAUUUUCCUCUGGCUAGGUAUAUGGGCUGCAUGCUAUUCCCAGGGCAGGAGAGGUAACAUUUUCACUGCUGAUCAAAUCACUGUUACAAACCAGAUCCUAGGAUCAGCCCCAAGUUGAGUGGAUAUUAAGAGGAGAUGUAUUUCCCUUCUCAACCCAGAAAUUCAUCCAUGUCCUAAGAAAGAAAGAGGAAUCUCUGCUUGAAAUGCAUCAGAAAUCCUUCUUGACAAGUUGACUGAUGCUAGGCUAUCUGUGUCAGGCCUGGGAUUGAACAUCAG